GAUGAACGCUAGCGGGAGACUUAACACAUGCAAGUCGAGCGGUAAGGCAGCAAUGCCUGAGAGCGGCGCACGGGUGCGUAACGCGUAUGCAACCUGCCUUAUACAGGGGAAUAGCCCAUGGAAACGUGGAUUAAUGUCCCAUAGGAUUACGGAUUCGCAUGGAUUUGUGAUUAAAACUGAGGUGGUAUAAGAUGGGCAUGCGUCUGAUUAGGUAGUUGGUAGGGUAAUGGCCUACCAAGCCGACGAUCAGUAGGGGUUCUGAGAGGAUUACCCCCCACACUGGUACUGAGACACGGACCAGACUCCUACGGGAGGCAGCAGUGAGGAAUAUUGGUCAAUGGCCGGAAGGCUGAACCAGCCAUCCCGCGUGCAGGAUGACGGCCCUAUGGGUUGUAAACUGCUUUUGUACCUGAAGAAACCUGUUUACGAGUAGACAGUUGCCGGUAAGGUAUGAAUAAGCAUCGGCUAACUCCGUGCCAGCCGCCGCAGUAAGAC
rnacentral:rRNA from 1 species